rnacentral:tRNA from 1 species
UUAAUUGAAGCCAAAAAGAGGCUUAUCACUGUUAAUGAUAGAAAUGAAUAAUUUAUUCCAAUUAAA